ACUUGUGUAAAAGACUUUUCCUUCUCAUCCCAACAGGGAAACAGGGCCUCAUACUUUAGUAGUCUUUCAACAACUUGGCUGACCCUCUGGGAGCUUCUACAGUAUCAUGAAGUUUUCAAACAACACGAGAAGGCUUCAGAGGUCAAUUUCAAUGGUGAUCAUGAUGAUUAUGUUCUGUUGACAGAAGAUAGAGAGCACAACUGAACAUACCCAAGAGGGCUUGUGUUUGAGCAGUCUUGUCCUCUCUCUUCUCCUGUCAACAGAACUUGCUGCUGCUGAAACAAUUCCUUGAGUUUCUGCAAUCUUUCCCAACAAACAAGGUAAGAUACAGCCUUCUCCAAGUAUAUAUGCACUUCUCUUUCUCUUUCUCCUCUCCUUCUUCACCAGACCAAGCCUUUUGAGUCUAGGGCUGUCCUCAGCUUUCAGCCAUCCAUAUAUCUCAGCAACCAAGACUGUUUUUGAGUGCUUUGUGCUUCCACAAUUUUGAAAACAGAAAUAGCAUGUUCAGAACAGACGUACCAUGAAAUGGCAUACUCGAUUCACUUCUCUUUCUAUUUUCACAAUUCCGGAAACCAAUCUUUGUUUUCCUUUGUUUCUGUAUUUUGUUUAUAUCAUCAUGGUGAAGAACCUCAACUCUGAUUAUUCUUCUUCAAGAUUGAUCAUUAAUCCCCAAACCCCACCUGCAAUUCUGUCCAAGAAUGCAGAAGUCAAGUAUACCUAAACCAACCCUAAACACCUUCCUUGUCCUACAGACAACAAAACAACCAAAAAUUUUAUCAAUUUCAAAGUUUUGUUAGCCCCAUUUUUUUUAUGGGGCAAGGUCACAAACCAUUAUACAACCAGCCCCUGAACCUUUACUGGAUCAUAAUUGCAUAAGCACUUAGAAUCCAUGCUACAAAAGUGAGAGUAUUUUCUUUAAUUAAAUUGAGAAUUAUUAGAAUUGGAGGUUAAGAAUGUUGUGAUUUAACUAGUUCAGUAAUUGAAACUGAAACGAGUGAUGAGCAAGCUUAGCAUAUGUAAACUAAUAAUGGAAGAGAUGAAGCUGAAGAAAAAGUGUGCUGGUAAUUAUAGAAACUCCUGAUCAGGAUAGUGUUUGUGGGGUUGGCAACAUUUCUACCAAUUGAUUGUAGAAAGGUGGGAAAUAUGGAAAAUGCUUUCCUGAAGCCCAUAAUGGUUCCACCACUUUUGUCCAUAUAGCUACGGCUCUCCACCCCCCCGGUACAACCGCUGGUCCUCCAACUUGGGUACAAGAACUCCUGCUUUGGAGACAUGUCAAGUCCAGGGUUGUCUUGCUAUGAAAUUGAACACAAAAUCCGUAAUUUGAACCUUGCACAAGCAAUCAUUAAUGUUACAAAGGUUGAUGUUUCAUCUCUUAA